UGACGUGGAAGCUAUUCUCUAAGAUUAAGCCAUGCAUGUGUAAAUGAAGUGAAGCCGAUAGGUGGAACAGCGAAAAGCUCAGUAAUACAAUCAUUAUUUAGUCUACGAGGAUGAGGAUAACCUUGAUAAAUUAAGGCUAAAACCAUCGUAGAAUAAGAGAUUGGCCUAUCAGCUAGUAUGUAGGGUAAGGGCCUACGUAGGCGAUGACGGGUAACGGGGAAUUAGGGUUCUAUUCCGGAGAAGGAGGCUGAGAGAUGGCUACUAGGUCUAAGGAGAGCAGCAGGCGCGAAACUUACCCAAUGCUAUAUAGUAGUGAAUAUUUCUAUGUAUUUCCAUAAACAUGGGAAAAUCUAAUUGAAGGGUGUUACAAGCAGCCGCGGUAUUUCCAGCUCCAAGAGUAUCCAUGAGUAUUGCUGCAAUUAAAAAGUUCGUAGUUGGUUAUGUAAUGAAUCUUGAGAUAAGAAUAAAUAUUAUGUAAGCGAAAGCCAUGGAGGGAAAUAGGAUUAAAUAGGGAGGGGUGAAAUCUGCAGAUCUAUUUAGGACUAAUAGAAGCGAAGGCGAUUUUCCAUGUGGUAUUUGACAAUCAAGAACGAAAGCCGGAGUAUCGAAGAUGAUUAGAGACCGUCGUAGUUCCGAGCAGUAAACUAUGUUAUAUUAUUUGUGUUAUUGCGAGUACGUGGUAGCAUGAAUAUAUAGAAAUUAAGAUGAUAUGAACUUUGGGGAUAGUACGAACGCAAGUUUUAAACUUAAAUGAAAUUGACGGAAGGACACACAAGGAGUGGAGUGUGCGGUUUAAUUUGACUCAACGCGGGACAACUUACCAUUUUUAGAAGCAAUGAUGAGUGAUAUGAUCACGAUUUUGCUAUGAGUGGUGCAUGGCCGUUAACAAUGCGUGAUGUGAAUUUCGAUUUAGAUAGCUAUAUAGCUACGAGUAUGUUAAAUCCACCAAUGUGUGAGACCCAUAUACUGAUUGUUAUUAGUAGACAGAUGAUGUAAAUCAUAGGAAGGAGUGGGCGAUAACAGGUCAGUGAUGCCCUUAAAUGAAAUGGGCGACACGCGCACUACAAUAGAAGAUAGAGAUUUUCUUAGGUGUUGGGAUUACUUUAUUGUUAUAUAAGUGUAGGCGAAGUAUGAACAAGGAAUUCCUAGUAAUAUGUAGUGAGUUAACAACGACAUAUGAAUGCGUCCCUGUCCUUUGUACACACCGCCCGUCGUUAUCUCAGAUGGAAAUUAGGGUGAAAUAUUAUAAUAAUAGAGAACUCUAAUAACUAAAUAAGGUAC
rnacentral:rRNA from 2 species